GCAGUCGAGCGGUAAGGCCCUUCGGGGUACACGAGCGGCGAACGGGUGAGUAACACGUGAGCAACCUGCCCCUGACUCUGGGAUAAGCGGUGGAAACGCCGUCUAAUACCGGAUACGACCCACCACCUCAUGGUGGAGGGUGGAAAGUUUUAUCGGUCAGGGAUGGGCUCGCGGCCUAUCAGCUUGUUGGUGGGGUAACGGCCUACCAAGGCGAUUACGGGUAGCCGGCCUGAGAGGGCGACCGGCCACACUGGGACUGAGACACGGCCCAGACUCCUGCGGGAGGCAGCAGUGGGGAAUAUUGCACAAUGGGCGAAAGCCUGAUGCAGCGACGCCGCGUGGGGGAUGACGGCCUUCGGGUUGUAAACCUCUUUUACCACCAACGCAGGCUCCACGUUCUCGUGGGGUUGACGGUAGGUGGGGAAUAAGGACCGGCUAACUACGUGCCAGCAGCCGCGGUAAUACGUAGGGUCCGAGCGUUGUCCGGAAUUAUUGGGCGUAAAGAGCUCGUAGGCGGCAUGUCGCGUCUGCUGUGAAAGACCGGGGCUUAACUCCGGUUCUGCAGUGGAUACGGGCAUGCUAGAGGUAGGUAGGGGAGACUGGAAUUCCUGGUGUAGCGGUGAAAUGCGCAGAUAUCAGGAGGAACACCGGUGGCGAAGGCGGGUCUCUGGGCCUUACCUGACGCUGAGGAGCGAAAGCAUGGGGAGCGAACAGGAUUAGAUACCCUGGUAGUCCAUGCCGUAAACGUUGGGCGCUAGGUGUGGGGACUUUCCACG
rnacentral:rRNA from 1 species